AGGUUGAAAGAGUUCCUCUGGGUUGAUGAGCUGAGCCCUCAGGACCGAGAGAGGCCAGUUGACAAAUGUAAUCAUGGCCUAGGAGCCCGGGGUACAUAGCAAAGAGAAGAACCAGGAAUAGGAGGUGAAUGGGACAGUUCCCAUUUGCAAGAGACCCUCUCUUCUCACAGACCCUCUGCUUCUCACAGCAUGCCCACUUUCAAAACCAUGCAUCAACUUCCUCAAAGCAGAUGAGGGAAUUGAGGCUAACAGAGAACAACAAGUUCAAAAUAGCACAGUCUUAGACAUGAUUCACUGAGGCUGCACCAGGGACCUCUGAAGACCUGGAUCAUGGUCUACUUUGCCCCUCCUCCUCUCCGCACCAAUAGGCCUCUUUCCCAAAUGCAAAUUUUCAGCCUGUGGGAAUAGAUGCCUAUGAAUCAGCUGCCCUAUCCCGACAUACCUGAACCUGGAUGGAUUGAGCACCACCCACAAGUCCUCUGCCAGGUGUUCACUGAGUGGACUGCCCUUGCUUCUCUCCACUUAAAUUUCUUUCUCCAUCUCUGACAUCUCCACUAAGUUCUCGCAAAUACCUCAAUGUAGUAUACACUGCUGCUUCAUGUUCAAUAUGUCCAGAAAGGUAUUUAACCCAUCACUACCCAUGCAAAAAAUAAAAAAACAAAAAACUGCU